UAGGGAAUAUUGCACAAUGGACGAAAGUCUGAUGCAGCGACGCCGCGUGAGUGAUGAAGGCCUUCGGGUUGUAAAGCUCUGUUCUUAGGGAAUAAAAAAAUGAAGGUACCUAAGGAGAAAGGACCGGCUAACUUCGUGCCAGCAGCCGCGGUAAUACGAGGGGUCCAAGCGUUGCUCGGAAUCAUUGGGCGUAAAGCGGGUGUAGGUGGCUUUGUAAGUCAGGAGUGAAAGCCCUAGGCUCAACCUAGGAAGUGCUUUUGAUACUGCGAAGCUUGAGUGUGGGAGAGGAUCGUGGAAUUCCAGGUGUAGUGGUGAAAUACGUAGAUAUCUGGAGGAACACCGGUGGCGAAGGCGGCGAUCUGGCCCAACACUGACACUCAGACCCGAAAGUGCGGGGAUCAAACA
rnacentral:rRNA from 1 species